ACUCUACAGUGGUACUUCAUUGUUGGCCCAUUGCUUGCUGUAACAGUGUUAGCAUUCGUUGUUUUGUACCUGUGGAAAAGACGAAUUGCUGGCAGAGAAAGACCAGCAUAUGUUGAAGAGGAACUGGAGAUGGGAACGUUAAAUGCCGACGUGGAUAAAUGGGAGAUAUCACGUGAACGUAUAACUCUUGAAGAAGUCAUUGGCUCCGGAUC